rnacentral:tRNA from 1 species
GGUAGCAUGGCUGAGUGGUCUAAGUCACUGGGUCAAGCUAUAAGUCUAUUUGGGGGCGUGGGUUCAAAUCCAACUGCUGCUA